rnacentral:rRNA from 1 species
UACGAAGGGGGCUAGCGUUGCUCGGAAUUACUGGGCGUAAAGCGCACGUAAGCGGUCUUUUAAGUCGGUGGUGAAAUCCUGGAGCUCAACUCCAGAACUGCCUUCGAUACUGGCGAUCUCGAGUCCGGAAGAGGUGAGUGGAACUCCUAGUGUAGAGGUGGAAUUCGUAGAUAUUAGGAAGAACACCAGUGGCGAAGGCGACUCACUGGUCCGGUACUGACGCUGAGGUGCGAAAGCGUGGGGAGCAAACAGG